AAGUCGUAACAAGGUUUCCGUAGGUGAACCUGCGGAAGGAUCAUUAACUUGAUUAAUAAUCUUCUUUUAUAAUUGGGAUAUUAUAUAACCUUAAUUUAACCGCUGGGGGCAUAUUUUUCUCUCCGCUGGGGGCCAUUAUUUAUUCUAAAAAGUUUAAUUUAUUUAAUUGUGCAAAUUAUACUAUUUUUUAUAGUUAGUGAUGGAUAAAGUUUCUAAAAAAACUUUCAACAAUGGAUCUCUUGGCUCUU
rnacentral:misc_RNA from 1 species